rnacentral:lncRNA from 1 species
UCAGGUUCAUUAGUGCUGCUCUGUUACCGGUAAGGAACCAACCAUAGCAUGAUGUUGCUAGAGUUUGUUUGUUCUUGAUGUUAAUAUCUGGUGUGGAACAGUAAGAAUGGAUUGAUUGUUUGGUUUUCUGCUUCAGAUUAUUUUCUGUUAUUGUAGUUGUGAACACUGAUAGUAAUUCAAAAUUUGCCUCAAAAUGCCAUUCAGAAUACUGUGAUUUUAUUCUGCGCAAAAAAAAAAAACGAAUACCAUAAUUUACUUCAUGUCUAUGCAAGCCUCAAAAUGUGAUAUGGAAUACCAUAGUUUACUCUCUUGUCCCCUCACCUUAAGAGUUUAGUUUCCUUUUCGUGAUCUGUGCUAGUAAAUGGUGAUUCCUAUCCUGGUUAAAGUAAUACGGAGUGCUCUGUGAUCAGUUAUUCUAACUAGAAGCUGGCGCGUCCAGUCGUUUUUAUGACCUAAGUUGAUCUGUGUAAAUAAUAAAUCUAUGAACAGCAAAAUCAGCUGCAACUACUUGUAAAAUAUAACGGGAAUAUGGGAUACAGCCAGAGUUAUUACCGAAAAAGGCUUUCGCCCCGCUUUAUAUAUAAAGCACAGAUCACCAACAACCCAGUACAGCACACGCCACCAACACACACGCACACACCCAAGGCAGGAUACAAAGGCGCUGAGCACAGCAACACCACCCCUAGCACUACAAGAGCCACCGGGGGCCUUAAACGUGAACACGCCACCGUGAAGAGAAGAAGCUACAUACGACGCUCCGUGGGCUCCAAGGCAGUGCCAACAGGAAGGUUACGACACUGAAGCGCCGCCACCGCCCGACCCAAGGAUCAGGGUUUCCCCCGGAGCAACACGACGGGCAGCGAGAGUCGCGGCGACGCCUUCAAGAAGGGAACGAGCUUCGCCAUCGCCGGUCAGUCCGAAGAUAGAACAGGUUCUCACCCCGACCAAUAUUCACCGCCACCGAACGCCGCACCCUGGCUACCACGCCGCCCACACGGCCAUGGCCACCAGGCAACACCAAGUCACGGGCUUUGCCCAGGAGCACCGCGACACCACCACCAGGGCCGCCGCCCCCAGCAUCCAUGACCUUGACGCCACCGCACCCGUCACCCACCGCUACCCCAACCAAAGAGAUGAAUGGAAAGGAACCGCCUUUCGCACUCCUGAGCACUCCCCAGCGUCGAGACCCGAAGUCCGGCCAAACCUGGCCACCAUCGACCCGUCCUGCUGCCGGGCGCGAGACGAGCUCGGUCCUGCAGCCGGGCGCGAGACAAGUCAGAUCCUGCUGCCGGGCGCGAGACGGGCUCGGUCCUGCUGCCGGGCGCGAGACGAGUCCGGUCCUGCUGUCGGGCGCGAGACGAGCUCGGUCCUGUCGCCGGGCGCGAGACGGGCGAUGGGCGCCGCUGGGAGAGGGCCAACCCUUCGAUGAAGGUAGCGCUUGAACGACGGGGAGAGGAAUCGAAGGUCGUCAAGGGCGCUCACCGACAGGCAGACGCCGAAGAAGUCCAGCCGCCACCUUGAAACGACCCAGACCACCGCCACGGGCCACCACCACGCCGUGGAACCCCACAUCCACGCCGGGACCCCGAGGGACUGCUCCGAGCCGCCUGCUGACGGCCCAGUGCCAGAUCCAAGGAGCAGGCCGGCAACCGCCGUCGUCCCCUCCCGAAUCCGCGACCAGGACGAGCCCCGGCCUCCGCCCUGCGCCACCAGCCGGGUCCCCGGCGACAAAUCCAGCCAGAUCUGGCCGGAAACCGGCUCGCCCGCAACCACCAGCACCGCCGCCGCCGCGUCAGAUCCGCCGCCGCGUCAGAUCCGCCGCCGCCACGGGUGCGCCCACCACCGCGAGGCCCUCCACGCCGCCACCCCGGACCAGCAGCCCCGCCGCCGGACCAAGCGGCCACGCCACCGCGCCCCUCGAAAGCGCAGCGCCGCUGUCCGAGCAGGGCGCCCCGCGCCGCUGCCGCCCGAGCAGGGAGAGACGAGGACCCGCCGCCGCCAGCACCAAACGGGCUUCGCCCGCCGGCGCAAACGGGCGGCGGCGAGGGAGGAAGACGAGGGGAGGGGAGCCGGCCGACGACGCCCUAGGGUUUCCCCCCGGUCGCCCGCGGGGACGACACGGGAGGAGGAGGGAAGGAGAGGAGGGAAGGACAUACUCAACCACAGCCAGAGUUAUUCCUUUCCUUCUUUUAAGCUUCCUCCUGAACAGAGCAGCACAGAAACCCAACACACCAUACAAGUGGCCCUAGAUAUGACCAAAUGGCCUACGCGUGGUGACAUAGCUCAGCCUACGCAUCGUGGUGCCCAGUCGGUGCACAAUCAACACCACGUGGACAACCCAGUUAACGCCCUUGUUCGGUCCUUAAUUGUUUUAAUUUGCUCUUUUUGUACGUUGUGAGUUGGUGGACUUGUGAAGAACAAUUUACAAGAAUGCGGUAACCGUCUGAAGUAUUGUACUGUACAUCCUAAGGAUGUGAAUGAUAACUUUUGUUGUGGAUGAACUGUAUGAACACUUGGCUGCAGAUGGUUUAUCCAUUCACUUAUUUAGUUAGAAAUUUGAUAGGAAUGGGAAAACAGUGUAAGAUACUAAGAUCAAUUAUUUGGCCAUAUCUGCAAAGGUUAAUUGUCAAUUUUCUUUGUCCAUCGACGUAAUCUGCUGUUGAUUUAAAUUUCAGUUGAAUUCCGGUCUGUCAUUUAACCUUGUUUUAUUGUAGUUUAUGUGACAGCUAUGUCGAUUCAACUGCUGUGUUACGAAGUGCUGAUUACAAAUGGAGAGACUACGCGACAACUCUGUACUGAAAUCGGCAAACACUUGUUGUUCCAUCUCUUAGGCUUUAUCACAGUUCCCCCGCCCAAAAGAAGUCUUCAUCAGAGUUGAGAAUUUUUUGAGGUCUACCAGCUGAAAACAAUCUGUGAGCAUACACUAUGUGAUGCUCUCUGGUCCAAAAUGUAAACUCAGUACUACCUCUCUGUUCCCAGAAAACUUGGGCAUCAAUAUUAUUUCGC